rnacentral:rRNA from 1 species
AUUGAACGCUGGCGGCAGGCCUAACACAUGCAAGUCGAGCGAGCGGCGGACGGGUGUGUAAUGUCUCGGAAACUGCCUGAGGGAGGGGGAUAACUACUGGAAACGGUAGCUAAUACCGCAUAACAUCAGAGGUACCCAGAUGGGAUUAGCUAGUAGGUGGGGUAACGGCUCACCUAGGCGACGAGCCCUAGCUGGGCUGUGAUGAUGACCAGCAACACUGGAACUGAUAAACGGUCCAGACUCCUACGGGAGGCAGGAGUGGGGAAUAUUGCACAAUGGGCGCAAGCCUGAUGCAGCCAUGCCGCGUGUGUGAAGAAGGCCUUCGGGUUGUAAAGCACUUUCAGCGGGGAGGCGUUACCCGCAGAAGAAGCACCGGCUAACUCCGUGCCAGCAGCCGCGGUAAUAC